rnacentral:lncRNA from 1 species
AAAUCUCCAUUUUUGGAGUUGACUGAGCUUUCUGAACUUUUUGGAACCAAAUCUUCUUUCUUUGCUUUUUGUUCUGUUGCACCUGUAACUGAAGAUCCAUUACUUAAAAUGACAUUCAUUUGGGUCUCUUUUUGUACAAUUGAGGAUAUUUGGGUCUCUUUUGGUACAUUCAGGGGUAUUGGGGUGUCUUUUGGUACAACACUGGAACCAUUUCUCAUUGGAAUCUUUUGGGUCUCUUUUGAUACAUUGAGGCCAUUACUCAUUGGAAUCUUUUGGGUUUCUUUUGAUACACUGAGGCCAUUAUUCAUUGGAAUCUUUUCUUUCUGAUGAACAACAUCUGUAGUUUUCUUUGAUGGAAAACUCUUUUGAUCACGGAAAUAAAACAACAUGUAGGCUUUCUGCUCAAAAACCUUCUUUUCACUCACUUGAUAUACACGAUUGUCAUCAAGUGAAUACCACAUGCCACUAGAUGUCCUAACAAAGCAAUAAUAGUGCCCAGAAUGU